rnacentral:rRNA from 1 species
AUUGAACGCUGGCGGCAGGCCUAACACAUGCAAGUCGAACGGUAACAGUAAGCUUCUUUCUGCUUUGCUGACGAGUGGCGGCCGUGUGAGUAAUGUCUGGGAAACUGCCUGAUGUAGGGGGAUACCUACUGGAAACGGUAUCUAAUACCGCCUACCGUCGCAAGACCACAUAUGGUGACCUUCGGGCCUCUUCCCAUCUGAUGUGCCCAGCUGGGAUUAGCUAGUAGGUGGGGUAAAGGCUCACCUAGGCGACGAUCCCUAGCUGGUCUGAGAGGAUGACCAGACACACUGGAACUGAGACACAGUCCAGACUCCUACGGGAGGCAGCAGUGGGGAAUAGUGCACAAUGGGCGCAAGCAUGAUGCAGCCAUGCCGCGUGUAUGAAGAAGGCCUUCGGGUUGUAAAGUACUAUCAGCGGGGAGGAAGGGAGUAAAGUUAAUACCUUUGCUCAGUGACGUUACCCGCAGAAGAAGCACCGGCUAACUCCGUG